rnacentral:rRNA from 2 species
UCGAGAAUUUUUCUCAAUGGGGGAAACCCUGAAGGAGCGACGCCGCGUGGAGGAUGAAGGUCUUCGGGUUGUAAACUCCUGUCAUUUGGGAACAAGCUGUACGUGUUUACUGCACGUGCAUUGAUAGUACCAGAAGAGGAAGAGACGGCUAACUCUGUGCCAGCAGCCGCGGUAAUACAGAGGUCUCAAGCGUUGUUCGGAUUCAUUGGGCGUAAAGGGUGCGUAGGUGGCGCCGUAAGUCAGGUGUGAAAUUUCGGAGCUUAACUCCGAAACUGCAUUUGAUACUGCGGUGCUUGAGGACUGGAGAGGAGACUGGAAUUUACGGUGUAGCAGUGAAAUGCGUAGAGAUCGUAAGGAAGACCAGUGGCGAAGGCGGGUCUCUGGACAGUUCCUGACACUGAGGCACGAAGGCCAGGGGAGCAAACG